CUGCUACCCCGCCACCCACCGCUUGGUCUUCAAUUAGCCGCCGACGGUGGAGCAGGCAAGGCGCGCAAGGCUGCAGGCUGCGAGGAUGGGGAGGAGCAAUGCAGAACAAAGCUCUGUCACAACUGUGCUUCAUGCUUGUCGCCUCCUGCCUGCAAGCAGCUGAACGUUUCCCGCUCGAUAUCAGGCAGAAAGGGAUGGAUGAGACACAAUGAGAGAUUCAGUACACAACUUGACUAGCACUGAAGAUGCUACUUAGUUGGCAAGAAAUGUCUGCAAGAAAACAACCAAGAUCAGAGAGCACCCAGGACCCCACAACUGGUUAUAUUUCUGAAUCCAUAACUGCAAAGCCUGAAGACAUUCAGAAUCUCUCCUCUUGCUGCCCUUUUUCUCUGAAGAAAAACUGCUUUAUUCAUUGCAAAAGAAAAGCUUCAAAAGGCACCAAAAUGAUAUUGAAGAUUGAAUUUUAAAAUCACUUUAAAUCUGCACUUUCCAAAGUGUGUGUUAUGAUGCCCCGGGGUGCUGCAGCAAACUCACAUGAGUGCUACGGCAAAUUUAAAAUGUUACCCCAUGUGAACUGCUAGCUUGAGGUAGUACAUAAUUUUGGCCUAGGAGUGCUGGAAAAAAUUCCCGAGACACUCAGGGCACCAUGAAUCAAGUCAUUGUGGGAACCUCUGCUGUAUGUGUUUUAUUGAAAUUAUGUAUUAAUAAUUUCAAUGCAUUUUAAAGUAUCUCUGAAUUAAGGUAGUGGCUUAUAGUAUUUGGUAGCAUUAUGUACGUGUGCAUGCACGCAUAAUGUGCAUACUCUCAUGCAUAAGCACACACAUACAGAGAUAAUCUGCAUAUUUAUUUACUUUUGCUGCCUAAGAUUUACAUGUAUAUGCUGCUCUAAUCUAAGAGUAGCGAGCUGGGCUAUAGAGGUACUGAAAUUGUGCUAAAUUUAGAUUUGCCGUGCCUUUUAUGGCCACUGGACCAUAAAAUACCCUACUAGGGAUUUGAUAGAAACUGUUUUUAUUUAUCUUUGUUCUAAGAUUCUUGAAUUAUUUUAAAUAACUCAGGGUUUGCCCUGCCCGAACCAUUGAAAGACAAACAAACAAAAUUAAAAUAGUAGUCUAUUAGAAGGAGAUGCUAAAACAGGCCUUCUACAGAAAUAUAUUAGACAUAAACAAAUGGUGGAUGGCUACUUUUUUUUUUUUUUUGCACGAGUCCAUGUGGCAAACUUCUCUACUACCAAAACCCAAACUACUGUAGAAUAUUUUGACUUAAUAUACUACAAGCUGUUUUAGGAGGAAGAUGCUCUUCUCCUGUGUUUUCUUCCACUUUUAUUGCCUGAAAUCCAUUCUGUUGGCUUACUGUGCUACCUGUUUAGAUAUAACCUGUAUUUCCGUUUUGUAAUGUUUGUAACUAUUUUGUACAUCACUUUUUCCCCAAGAGUGUUUUGUGUGUGUGUGUGUGUGUGUACAUGCAGAUACCCACACUCACACCAUCUUUACCAAAAGAACUGGAAUCACUUUAGCAUUCACUUAGUAGUAUCGUAAUGAUCUCACCUUCUCCAUGUCUUGGUUUUGUGUUUUAUUGUAGAUCUAUUGUGGUGGACUGAUCAAAACAAUCUAAAUAUUUCUUUGGCAAUGCAAACAACAUCAAAAAUAAUAUAUUAAAGCUUAGUAAUCCCUCCUGCUUUCACAGUGACUAUUCAGAAGUUUAUGUCAUUAUUUUCUAGGAUGUUACCAAUGUGGUAACGCCCCAGGGUAAUCCUGCAACCCCAUUCCAUUAAGAAUUGUUUUCUUAAAUAUCUCAAGAGUUAUUUCCAAAAUGUUAGCUACAACUUUGAUCACCCUUUUGCUUUUAAUGUUUUAAUUGAUAUUUUAUUCUUCAGUAACUGCAUUUGAAGAAAUAUGUUUCUUAUAUAAAUGUGCAUGUCCAUCCAUUUGCAAUGUAACUCCUGCAGACUAAUAAAGGAUUAGAAUAUAAGAAAUGUGAUAUGAUUCAUACAAAUGCAUCAUAUAUUUUUACAUUACAUUACAUUACAACCCCUAACCCUCUCUCAACAGCAUCACGUAGAUUUGAAUAGGAGAAGGGAAAGAAUACAAGGCAUAGCAAGGAUUGCAGUAAUCAGAGAAUUGUUUGGGAUGGAUGUUAGCAUCCCUCAAAUCCUGAUCACAUCACCACAGCAAUAAGACAAAAAACAGAUCCACUGGUAUAACUCACAACGAGUGUUUGACCUUCAUUAAUUUCUAUGUCAACCUCUCAGAGUCUCUUCAAUAGUGAGAUGGGCAUGGUAUAAAUUUGAUUAACAAAAACAAAUAAUCUGGAUCAGGCCCAUGGUGGCCAUGAAUUCCCACACUGCUUCAUUCUUCACACUCAAAAAAUGAGGUUGAAAUUUCCCACUAUUAUAAGGCUGAAAAACUCUACCAACAAUCUAAACACAGAAUUAAGCUGCUUGGGCUUUUGUGGUACAGUUCAGACAUGAUGCUUGUGACGUUCUGGAAAAGUUGCUGUUAGGUCUGUUACUAUUACUUAACCACUUCCCAUACUGUUACCAACAAUGGGCUUCCCUAUUUGACUUGUAUGGUGCACAAGUUAUGCUUCCAUAGCAUUUCCCAAACAUUAAAAAAGAGAAGUUAAAUAGAAUUAGCAUGACUGUGAUGAUCUUUCUAUUUGAUCAUUAUCUAGACAGAAAAGAAUAUGAUGAUCAGAACAGAAGGAAAAAAUCAUGAAACUGAUCCUGUCCAGAGUAUCAUUCCAUUCAAGUCCUCCUUUACAAGAUAAUGUAGAGGACUUCAUGCCAUUAUCAUAACAAUAGAACUGCUGGUUUCAUUGCCCAAGGAUUGCUUUGGGCAUGAGUCAAAAUGUUGCAUGAAUCAAAAUGUUGCUGUAUUAUUAAACGUAUGUUUUGGUGCCUUGUCCAAACCCAAGCAGUAUCUGGCUAAACCAGUUGGGAUACAAUUCCUAGAAUAUCCAGCAAGCAAAGCCAUGCCAAAGAAUGAGAUUGGAGAAGUCUGUUCUAAUCCAUUUCAGUGAGUUCUUACACUAUACCUAAGGUGUACUGUGCAUAUGGGGAUUUGCAUUAAAAUGCAACAGAAGAUCAUACAAUGCAUAUAUGAGAAUGACAUGUGAUAACUUGCAACAUAUUGAUUGAGAAGUUGCUUAAAUGUGUCUUCUUCUACUUGCCUUGUAUCAUUCAGUACUUUGUUAAACAAAUUAUGGAGCUGCUUCUUAAAGCUCAUAAUAAUUAAUCACUCUUCUCUCUUUUUUUCCUGCAAGCAAAUAGUAUUUUUUUACUGGCUGAA